CAUCGCGUUGCGACAAUGGUUCCCGUACAAUCAACAAAGUUAAGCAACAUCGAACCUGGUUAGUACCUAGAUGGGUGACCGCUUGGGAAUACCAGGUUCUGUAAG